rnacentral:lncRNA from 1 species
AUAAAGCCAAGUGCAGGAGUUCUACUGAGUGCAGUAGAAGAUCUGACUAAUUCCAUGGGAGCAUAGGAAAAAAGAAAACAGAAGGAAUAGCAAGAAAACAGAAGGAAUAGCAUUCUGGAAGCAGGGCCGCUUGAAUUUAGUUAUGGAUUUCCACAUCUGAGAGGACCUCACCUGUAAAUUGUGGACCGACCUAAGCCUUGGUUUUGCAUGACUGUUAGGUUCUUUUUGGUUGAUAAUAGCAAGGACCCCAAAAUCCAAGAUGGAUGAGCGUCAGCUGUUCUAUAGACUGACAUCAGGUCACACUGACGGCAAAUGUUAGAGCAAUUUCUGCCCUGCACACAGACUUUUAUAUUUAAGGUGAGCAUUUAUUAGCAAGCAGGCACAAAAUAAUUAACAUACACUGUUUUGUAAGGUUGAUAGGGUCAUUGCCCUCUGCCCUAGUAGCUGUGACAAUGACAUCUUCAUAAAAGGUUCAGCCGUGGCAGACGCAUAAAGCAGCGAGUCC